GGUGAGAUGGCCGAGUGGUCUAAGGCGCCAGACUAAGGCUUUUCUAGCUUGUCUAUCUGGUCCGAAAGGGCGUGGGUUCGAAUCCCACUCUCAUCA